rnacentral:rRNA from 1 species
AACCCUAAUUUUAGUUGCCAUCAUUUAGUUGGGCACUCUGAAAGAACUGCCAGUGAUAAGCUGGAGGAAGGUGGGGAUGACGUCAAGUCCUCAUGGCCCUUACGUGUUGGGCUACACACGUGCUACAAUGGUAUUUACAACAGGAAGCAAGACGGCGACGUUUAGCAAAUCCUUAAAAAAUACCUCAGUUCGGAUUGCACUCUGCAACUCGAGUGCAUGAAGCUGGAAUUACUAGUAAUCGUGGAUCAGCGUGCCACGGUGAAUGCGUUCCCGGGUCUUGUACACACCGCCCGUCACACCAUGGGAGUUGGUUCUACCUUAAGGCAAGGCUUAAAACCCUUGACCACGGUAUAGUCAGCGACUGGGGUGAAGUCGUAACAAGGUAACC